rnacentral:rRNA from 1 species
UACGAAGGGUGCAAGCGUUACUCGGAAUUACUGGGCGUAAAGCGUGCGUAGGUGGUUUGUUAAGUCUGUUGUGAAAGCCCCGGGCUCAACCUGGGAAUGGCAAUGGAUACUGGCAGGCUAGAGUGCGGUAGAGGGUAGUGGAAUUCCCGGUGUAGAGGUGAAAUUCGUAGAUAUUGGGAAGAACACCGGUGGCGAAGGCGGCUCUCUGGACCGAGACUGACGCUGAGGCGCGAAAGCGUGGGGAGCAAACAGG